rnacentral:rRNA from 1 species
GUAAGGAAUAUUGGUCAAUGGGCGGAAGCCUGAACCAGCCAUGCCGCGUGCGGGAAGAAGGCCCUCUGGGUUGUAAACCGCUUUUGUCAGGGAAGAAUGACAGGGAUUUAUCCUUGGAGCGACGGUACCUGAAGAAUAAGCACCGGCUAACUCCGUGCCAGCAGCCGCGGUAAUACGGAGGGUGCAAGCGUUAUCCGGAAUCACUGGGUUUAAAGGGUACGUAGGCGGUCUUAUAAGUCAGGUGUGAAAUACCGCGGCCUAACCGCGGAACUGCACUUGAUACUGUAAGACUUGAGUAGGGUGGAGGUACACGGAAUGCAUCAUGUAGCGGUGAAAUGCUUAGAUAUGAUGUAGAACACCGAUAGCGAAGGCAGUGUGCCAUACCUUUACUGACGCUGAGGUACGAAAGCGUGGGGAGCGAACA